rnacentral:rRNA from 1 species
CGUACCUCGACCGACCCCAAGGGCCCGCAGGGACUACUACGGGAGGCAGCAGUGGGGAAUAUUGGACAAUGGGCGAAAGCCUGAUCCAGCCAUGCCGCGUGUGUGAAGAAGGUCUUCGGAUUGUAAAGCACUUUAAGUUGGGAGGAAGGGCAUGUACACUAAUACGCUACUGUUUUGCGUUACCGACAGGAUAAGCCCGCU